GAUGAAGAACGCAGCGAAAUGCGAUAAGUAGUGUGAAUUGCAGAAUUCAGUGAAUCAUCGAAUCUUUGAACGCACAUUGCGCCCCUUGGUAUUCCAUGGGGCAUGCCUGUUCGAGCGUCAUUUGUACCUUCAAGCUCUGCUUGGUGUUGGGUGUUUGUCUCGCCUCUGCGCGCAGACUCGCCUCAAAACAAUUGGCAGCCGGCGUAUUGAUUUCGGAGCGCAGUACAUCUCGCGCUUUGCACUCAUAACGACGACGUCCAUAAAGUACAUUUUUUACACUCUUGACCUCGGAUCAGGUAGGGAUACCCGCUGAACUUAAGCAUAUCAAUAAGCGGAGGA
rnacentral:misc_RNA from 1 species